GCCAGAGAAAACCAGGCAGAACUUGGAAAUUUUGUUCAACAGCCUUUUUGAGAUAAAUGUGUUUUUGUAAUGUAUCCACCUUGUUUUGUUGGGAAAUGACAUUUUAAAAAGUCAUAUUGGGUUAUUAUGUAUAAAAAAAUUAAUUUGAUUUUUCAGUAAAUUUGACUGCUUAUAUAGGGAAAUAAGGGUAUUAAUUUCCCAACAAAAACAGCCUACAAUAUAACAAUUGAUAUAUAUUCUAAAAGAUGACCAUGAAUACAACAGGAAAUGAUAAUAACAUCUUUGGUAUCUGUUGAUAUGUAAAUGUUCUAAUGCAGUAAACUGUCAGGAAACAGCAGUUUAUUUUCGUCUUUUUGGUGUUUAGACAUACCAAAAGUGAUGCUCUUCAAUUUAAAAACCGAUAAAGGUUGUAACCAGCUGGUAAUAUUUUGACAGAAAAAUGAACUUCUGUUGUAUAUUUGUAUACAUAAUUGAACAUUUUGAUAAGAUUUAAGAAAAGUACAUAACUUUGUGGUGUUGGGAAACUUAUUUCCCUCACCAGGAGAUUGUUGCAUACAUGUACGGGUGAUCACUUCCAGACAGAGGUAGUUACAAUACGUAUCUGUACGGGAAUGAGGAUUAUUUAUAAGACUGAAAUUAUUGUAUUAUUUGCUGGAAAUGUGGAAUAUGAGGAAUUUAAAGCCAUUCGUGAGUAGUUUUUGAUGAUUCAGCUGGAGAAAUGCUGGAAAUUAUACAGUUUUCUCCCACCUCAAAACAGUACAUGAUAUAUCAUGGACACCAAAAGCAAACUAUAAAGAUCUAAAUGCCAUAAUUUUGUGCAUCUUGAAAACUGGAAAGGCGGAUCACUUUGAAGCAGAUGAUAGUGAUAGUGUUUAAAAGAAUUCUUUGUGACAGUUAUACCAGUUGGAACAGAUAAAAGAUACAUCAGAUGACAGACUUACAUAUAGAGGAGCCUAUAAUUAGGGAAAUGGAUCAACUUGAUUUUGAAGCUAACCUACUGCAUUAAUAUGAAAAUUCAUAAGUGACUGAGCUUAAAGAAAAUCACACAUGAAACUGUAAUGAGUUUGGGAGACUCAUACAACAGAACAUUUAAAUACCUAUUAAUUUUUUUAUGUAUAUGUUUGACUUUUGGUAAUAUUUUGGAAGUUACUUUAGUAAUUGAGAGACUCAAUGUUGAAAAUGACAAUUUUGAUAGAGGACAAUUUUAAGAAUAUCAACUUAGUUGUUUAUGAAUCUUUAUUUUUUAAAAUAUUACUAGGUGUCUGACAGAAUUUUUUAAAAAUUUCUGAAACUAUUUAGAUAUUUAUCAUGUUUCAUGUGUUUAUAUAGGCAAAUAUUUAUACAUGUCAUUUAUGUUAUGCAAGGGUUUAUAUGAAUUUCUAAAAAGAUGUAUAUAUAUGUGUUGAUAAAAUAAGUUCCAAAUUAUUACAGAGUAACAGAAAAUGGGAUCAAUUUCUAUUAAAACAAAUCUGUUGAAAGGGAAUGAAAAGUCAAAAAUUGUAUUUUUUUAAAUAAUUGUGUUAACAUUUUUGUGCUAUUUAGAAAUAUGUACACAAAAAAAAUAAACUUUAAUAUAAGUAUCAAUGUAGUAUGCCCUUGUUAUUUUUUGUUUUGUGCAGUACAUGCAUUUGAAUCUUGAUCAAAAUUUAUGGAUUGAAUUACUAAACAGAAUAAACUAAUUGUUAUGUUAACACUGUUGCUAAGUAUAUGUCACAUUUAAUGAGGCCAAGUUAUCCGUCUUAUUAACAAAGGAGGUUUGAUAUGAUUGCCAAUUUCAAGGCUGCAUGUACCUAUCACAGUUCUCUUUAGGCCAUAAUCAUUGUGAUGUAUGGGAAUAAUUCUCUGUUGUCAUAUUCUGACUUUUAUACAAACCAAGUGAUGAAGAUAAAGGGUGCUUCUAUUUCCAAAGGUUUUGAAGAAACUGCUAUGGAACACAAUAAAAAUCAGAAGAUGUAGUAUAACAGUGGCGGAUCCAGAAAUUUUCAUAAGAGGGGGCACACUGACUGACCUAAGGGGGCCCCUCCAGUCACGCUUCAGUGAUUCCCUAAA